rnacentral:rRNA from 1 species
AAACGAGGGCUUCGUAGCAGUGCCCGUCUUAACUAGGCUGUAAAGGGAGACUAGCGGUUCCAGGGUUAGUCUUAAAAUAAACACAAAAAUAUGGCUAAUGUUUACUUUGGUAACUAAGAGGAUCGUAGACGGUGGCGGAAUAGACAAGUUAGCAGUGUAAAUGCGAUAACCUUGUGGAAAUUACCGAUCGGCGAAUGCAGCUGCCGACACUUUUUAUUUAUAAACCUGAACGCUGAGAGAUCGAAAGUGUGGGGAGCAAAACGG